rnacentral:rRNA from 1 species
CACCGGGAUUGCCCCAGUAACGGCGAGUGAAGCGGCAGCAGCUCAAAUUUGAAAUCUGGCUCCUCGGGGGGUCCGAGUUGUAAUUUGUAGAGGAUGCUUCGGGUGCGGCACCGGUCUAAGUCCCUUGGAACAGGGCGUCAUAGAGGGUGAGGAUCCCGUAUGUGACCGGCGACCAAAGCCCAUGUGAAGCUCCUUCGACGAGUCGAGUUGUUUGGGAAUGCAGCUCAAAAUGGGUGGUAAAUUUCAUCUAAAGCUAAAUACCGGCCAGAGACCGAUAGCGCACAAGUAGAGUGAUCGAAAGAUGAAAAGCACUUUGGAAAGAGAGUCAAAAAGUACGUGAAAUUGUUGAAAGGGAAGCGCUUGUAACCAGACCUGCCGUCGGGGGCUCCGCGGGCAUUCUUGCCCGUCCAUACCCCCGCGAUCAGGCCAGCAUCGGUUUGGGCGGCCGGAUAAAGACUCGAGGAAUGUAGCUUCGCUUCGGGGAAGUGUUAUAGCCUCUUGUGCAAUACGGCCAGCCCGGACCGAGGACCGCGCUUCGGCUAGGAUGCUGGCGUAAUGGUUGCAAGCGACCCGUCUUGAAACACGGACCAAGGAGUCUAACAUCUAUGCGAGUGUUUGGGUGUCAACCCCAUGCGCGGAAUGAAAGUGAACGGAGGUGGGAACCCUCAAGGGCGCACCAUCGACCGAUCCGGAAGUUUACGGAUGGAUUUGAGUAUGAGCAUACCUGUUGGGACCCGAAAGAUGGUGAACUAUGCCUGAAUAGGGUGAAGCCAGAGGAAACUCUGGUGGAGGCUCGCAGCGGUUCUGACGUGCAAAUCGAUCGUCAAAUUUGGGUAUAGGGGCGAAAGACUAAUCGAACCAUCUAGUAGCUGGUUCCUGCCGAAGUUUCCCUCAGGAUAGCAGUAACGUUUUCAGUUUUAUGAGGUAAAGCGAAUGAUUAGAGGUCUUGGGGAUGGAAACAUCCUUAACCUAUUCUCAAACUUUAAAUAUGUAAGAAGUCCUUGUUACUUAGUUGAACGUGGACAUUUGAAUGCACCGUUACUAGUGGGCCAUUUUUGGUAAGCAGAACUGGCGAUGCGGGAUGAACCGAACGUGGGGUUAAGGUGCCGGAAUGUACGCUCAUCAGACACCACUAGGGAUCCAGAGUGUGGUGUCAAUUUCGCCCCAGAGCUUCAAGCUUAGGGUUCAGUCUUUCAAUAAAGGCAAGGUCUUUGACCUNUUAGGGGCCCGCGGUCGUUUAACGAUCGCCURCCCUUCGCCGUCCCUUUAGUGGGGCAGCUCACAGAUCAAGCAAAGNCCGGCGGCAUCUUGCNGUNGGAGAUAUGAUCGGCCCCCGGAGGUCCACUCCGGGGAGCAAGUGCAAAAGGUGUUGAUUCAUCUAGACAGCCGGACGGUGGCCAUGGAAGUCGGAAUCCGCUAAGGAGUGUGUAACAACUCACCGGCCUGAAUGAAUCAGCCCUGAAAAUGGAUGGCGCUCAAGCGUGCUACCCAUA